GUAUGUGAUUGCAGCAGUGUGUGUGUGCAGCCUUUUUUUGAAUUGCUGAGAACAGAUUUCUGUGCCAAUUUAGGAAUUUUAUUUCCUACGCCGGGAACAUUUUCCUUAGAUUCCCUAUAGUUGCCUUUUUGACCCGUAAGCUCACAUCUCAUCUUUUGCGUGACAGAGAUGAAAUAAAAACAGUCAAAGAGACAGGUAAGCCAACGGAACGAAUUUUGAAG